CGGUCACGUGGCGGGCUGUGAGCGGACGGGGUGGGGUUGGUGGUGGGGGCGGUGCUGGGCUUUGUCCGCGCUUCGUGUUUGUGCAGUGCGUUUUGCUUUCGGUCACCUCCAGGCCACGUCUAGAUUCCUUGUGAAUUGCCAAGAACCUGUCACUCCCAGCUCUGGGAUUCCCUGUUGGAGGUGAUGGCUGUACCCUGCUGCUCUGAUGUCUGCUUCCAUGCAGAACUUGUGACCUUCAUGUUUUGGGAUGCUUGCAGUAUGUUCAGUCCGACAUGGGGUGAGGCAAACUGCAUCUUGUAAAACAUCUAUUUAAAGUUGCUUUUUUGACUUGACACUUGGACAUUGUAGAAAAAUAGCAAAAGUAACAGGUGGUAUUAGUACCUACGAGUUGUAGAUGGCUUUGUAGUUAAAGAGUGGAAUGGUGUAGCAGAGAGAGAGCUUAAAGCUGUGAGAGUAAAGUUUGGUUUGUAUGCCACCAGUUUGCGGUGUGGUAAACCACUCAUUCACUUAUCUUCUUCAAAGAGCUCAUUUUUUUUGCAAGAUUAGUAAUUAUAAAUACAACACUUGUACAUAUUAAAUACUUUUUUCAAUCUUACUGAUUUCAUUAUUAUUGAUGUAGAAGCCUUCAUGUGUUCUUCCAGGAUAAACAUUUUAACCUUUUUUUAUUCUUUUUCCACAAAGAGUACACUUCCUAACUCUUCAUAAGAGUUCUGAUCCUGCUGUGAAAAGCUCUGUGUUAUGAGUUUUCUGAAGGAAUCAAUAGGAACUUGCUAAAAGAAAAUCCAGUUGUGAGAGCGUGGUUUUUGAAGGAUUUCCAACAUUUUCUUUCACCUAAACCUCUAAAAGCAUUAUGGGCUAUGUGGGAGGAGGCUUUGCUCAAUUUCCUCAUUGUAUUUAAUGUCAGUCAGAUUGCAUGGUAGAGAUGGAAAAGGGUAUGUGUAAAAGUUGAAAAUACAGGAUGGCCCAAGGAGAGAUGGAAAACUGGGGAAUACUUGUGUCUUAUUUAAAAAAGGGGGGAAAAAAAGCUUUCAGGCCAAGCAUACUCUUGUCUAUGUAGCUGUAGGCUUCUCUUUUUAUUAAUAAAAAGUUUGUCACUAAUCUUAUGACUCUUGGAUGCCAAAAUUAUACUUGGGUAAUUCCAUGGAGGAAGCUGGCUCCCUUUGUCCUUAUUAAAAUAAUGGUUAGUUGUAAAUUUUGACUUGAGCAUCUCUAAAACCAUCAGUUGCUGAAAGAACACCCUAGGAGUGGGAUGAAUUGUGUGCUUAAAUUCUGUGUUCUGUCUGCCAGUCAGAUGCAAGGCAAACAGGGUCAUGGACCAGGGGGCUGUUUAUUUUCCAGUAUGGCAAUUUUUCUUCUCUUGUAACCCGCUAACUACAGAAAAAGUGAUUUCUUUCCCGUAUGUAUGCUCUUUCAUAUUAGCAAUCUGACCCUUUACAUCAAAGAACAAAUUGUUUAUGAGGGUUAUAGGUUUAAUCAUUUAAUUAUUCUUUUUUUGAAAGAAAGCAGUAAAUUUGACUUUCAAUAACAUUAAAAAUCCUUUAAUGUUCCUCAUAAAGAUUAUCUUCUGCUGUAUGAACUUUUCAAUAUUUUUGUUAGCAUAAUCAAUUUAACAUCUAAAGAGUGAGGCAAAGUAUCAUUAACUGUGCAGGAGUCAGUAAAACUGAAAACAGACCGAUGUUCUAUUUACCUUGCCCAGUUUGCUUUGGAAGUAGAAUUUCUUAUAGUCUCUCAUCCUACCUGUUAUGGGUGUUUUAAAAAAGUAAUAAUUAUGAAAUGAAAGUAUUGAAUUUCUAGCAUCCUCAAAAUUGUAUUCAGUUUCACAGUUCUUGUCAUUAGUCUGAUUUCUCUCUCUUUCUCUUUCCCCUAGCCGAAUUUUGAUGCCUCUUUACACAUCCUCCAAGUAGAGGUUGGAGGUGAUAGACAAUCAACAGAUAUGGGUUGUGCAGGGUUUACUGCCAGAAUCACUGCAGUAAGAAGCUAAUGUGUCCUGCACACUUCUUUUCAACUGAGAUUUGGAAAUGUGUGUUCUGUAGUUCUGCUGAAGUUGCACAGAAAUAUCAGAGCUGAUGUCUGCAGACUUGUGAAAGAAAUUUACACUCACAUUCUGAAAAUGGUUCUCGCUUUCCCCUGCUCCUUUGAUAUAGAAAUGUAUCAUAUGGUAAAUA